UAGUCGGGUUCGUUAACCACUGCGCCACGACGGGAACUCCUGUUCUCGAUUAGUUUUACCUGUUCUAGACUUUCACAAAACAGAAUUAUAACAGCAUUCUUUUUCUUUCAGCUCUUUGUUCAGCGUAGCAUCUGUGAGAUCUUCCUCUGUUGUCAAGGUAUUAAUAGUGCAUUCCUUUUAAUUCAUCCAUCCAUUGAAUUCACUUUGGAUGGAUAUUUGGAUUAUUCUAGGCUUUGGUUACCAUGAUAGUCUCUGUCUUCUUUAAUUGUCUUAUUUAGUCUAUUUACAUUUAACACCGUCUUUCAAUUGUUUAUUUGAAAUCACUGCAGACUUAGAGAAAUGUUGCAAGGAUAGUUGUGUUCCCCCUAAUGUUAACAUUUUAACGUAACCGUGGCACAGGCAGCAACAACAGGAGAUUGCAACAGUAUGAUUAAGUACUUCGCAGAUCCUCUUCCAGUUUCACCACCUUUUCCCUAAUGUCUUUUUCUGGCCCCAAGUCCAAUCCAGUCCUGAGCCUCACAUGACAUUUAGUUGUCAUGUCCCCUCUAAUCAGUGACACUACCCUGAUGUUUCUCCUGUUUUCCUUGACCUUGAAACUUGGAUGAGUACACUUUCGGACGGCCCCUCCCUCAGUUUGGGUUGACGGGUGUUUUCUGGAGAGCAGGCUGUGGUUGUGCAUUUUAGGCAGGCCACCAGGGAACUCCAGAAGUUGAUUUCUUAAGCGGUGCAUGUAGAGAUUAGAUUUUCAUAAUAAAGAUAUUUGUGUUAAUGAUAUUUUUUCCCACAUAGUCUCCAAUGCCAAGGCAGUGAAACAGGAAAAUAUUAAAAGGAAAAAACAAAAAGCCUGGCACUCUAGGUAUAAGAUAUAACUUCUUUUUGACCCUUUGGGAUAGAAUUUCACCUCAUCAGACAAGGUUUCACAAAGUUUUCAAAGACCCUCUCCUAGAAGUAGAGAAACAAGAAGACAGGUGCCAGGUAUGAAUCACUGUUGAGUCACCUGGGGCUGUGUUUUGUCAACGGAUUAAAAAGUCUCCGGGUCACCUUUCCUUCCACUCUGCACAUCCUGCAGGUUCGAACAGUGCCUUACACGGGUUACAAAUCACUUUCAUAUCCACCGGCUCACUUGCUAGUUCAACUCUGUGAUAGAGGCGUGGAGGGGGUGCACUGGGAGCCUCUUACACAUGAAGACAGGGAGACUGGUCCAAAGUCCCUGGGAACACAGGGGCAGUGAUCCUAGACUUCUGUUUCUGUUUUCUUUUUUUUUUUUUAAAGGCCGCCCCCGUGGCGCAUAUGGAAGUUCCUGGGCCAGGGGUCAAAUUGGAGCUGCAGCUGCUGGCCUACACCACACUCCAAUUCAACCCCUAGCCUGGGAACUUCCAUAGGCCACAGGGGCGGCCCUAAAAAGCAAACAUAAAUAAAUAAAAAUAAAAGCUUAAAAAAAAAAAGAUGUUCAACAUGAAGAUGACACUCUAAACAUUCUACUUGGCAAAACAACAGAAGCACAUUCCCAAGGGAAUACCAAGGCGAGCGCCAGGAAAUGACAACAGGUCAUCGUAGUCAACGGUGCUCAGUGACACUUCCUUAUUUCACCAAAUCUAAGAAGCUACUGAUUCUAAAAUGCACCAUUAUUCCAUGCCAGUCAGAAAGCAAAGUCCUCCCAACUAACCCAUGACACGUUGACUUUAAGAUGCAUCCUGACCUCAGAUGUGUCCAAACAUGUCUCAGGUUUGAUGAAAUGCAGAAAUGCAAGACCCGCUUUCUCUAACUGCGGUUAUCACCUUCCCCGGCGUCACUAGCUCGUUACCUUAUCGAUACUGUUGAAUAGCAGCAGUGCCGUGUGUGGGACUGUCAGUGGGAAGAGGAACAGGAUGAAAGAAUGAAAGCAUCAUCUGCUGGGAAUCUGCUCAGAUCGGGUCCUACAAGGAAAAUUCUAGGAGCCUGGAGCGGCGAGCUCUCAGCAGCUCCCUGUAAAAGCAGCUCUUACAAGAGUGAAUUUUCAGAUCUCCUUUGUCUACUGCCCGUCAAAAGAAAUCACAUGACAAACGCUCAGCUCUUGGGGCGCAAACCCUGUGCAGGUAUUGGAGCAUCUGGGCGACGACACCCUGACACCUUCGUUUUGUUCAGUGAAGAGUUAAAGGAGGCAGCUGGUGCUGACCACGUGCCACGAAGCGCCCAAACGCACACAAAGCAUCAGAGCAGAUUCUCAGCCGAGCUGCCGGCUGUGAUCCCUAUUGAAAGGAUGAAGAACGGGGAGCUCAGGAAAGCUCAGUGGGUGGGUGAGGUCCAUUGGGUGGAAUGUCUGCGUCAGGAUUCAAACCCACGUCUGUCCACCGGCCCCCAAAGGCCCUGCGCUUUCCAUUGCUCAGGGGACAGAAAGCAGGAAGGGCGGAGGCCUUUAAAGGCCUGAAAAUCAGCUAGACUAAGCCGGAGUCUGGAAGGCCAACACUCUGUCUAAACAACUGCCCAGCAAACUAUGGACCUUUUGGUGCAGAAGGGCCCAUUCACGUGGGGACCAUCGGUCCGUGGGACAGCUGUGCACCUGAGUGAGGGGGUUUCUGGCACCACCCCAGCUUCAUGUCACGUCUCACCUAAGAUCUGCCUGAGAACACAGAGCCACCAGCCAUGCAGCUGGAAGCGAGGACAAGAUGUGAACACAGUCACCAUGGAAGACAACGUGUAAAGAGGGCCACACGAACGACCUCUGAAUAUAGCAGCCCCUUGCAGCCAACUCCCAGCCAUCAGGGACAUUGGUGGCCGUGGAGCUGGGCUCUGCGCUACACCAUGAAGAACAGACAGGUGCUAGUAGCCAGAGGAGGGAGCGUGCGUGGCUCGAGCAAGCAUCUGGGAACAGGACACGGGGGAGAGGAGAGGAGUCUGCGGAGGUAGAGAGGGUGAGGUUUGACAGGUACUCACCACCAAGGUAACAAUAUUCUAUGAAUUCACUUGGGGCUCAAGAAGGCUGAGCAGGUGGUGGGUUUCAGGGCAGCAGGGUGACCGUCUGACUACCCUGCGGAGUGGACCGGGAACCACCAGCUGGCGGGAGAGCUGGAGGGGUAAUUCACACCUGACUCACAAGGGCUCACACCUGGGCAGGGGCAUCAAAACACAACGCAAAGCAGAUCAUAACCCACCGGACUUAGGGAACCAAAACAAGGAAGGCUCCUCAGGAAAAGAAUAGAGACGCUUUAGAACAGUGAUUCUCAACCGGGGGCAUUUUUGCAAUGUCCAGCAGUAUCCAGGGACAUUUUCAGGUGUCAUCACCGGAAGGGUGGCAUCUGGGGGGGGCAGAGGUCAGGGAUGCCACUAAACAGUCCACAGCAGACAGGGCAGCUCCCACAACAAAGAAUUCUCAGGUCCACAAUAAUCCACCAUGUUGAGGUCUAGACGCAUAAUUCGGGGACCGUAGGGAAACGGAAGUGGCACCAGGGUUCCACUCACCAGGCAGCUCACAAACCAAAAAGGCAAAG
rnacentral:lncRNA from 1 species